AGAGCGCGGAGGCGCGGAGGCCUGUGUAGCCGUAGCCGCUGCCCCACCUCAGUGUUAGUUUCUAGGCGCCGCGGUUUUCUGCGCUUCAGCAGUGGAUCUUGGUGGGUUCGGGGCAGCUUGGGGCGGACAAGAAUGCUGAAGGCUUUUGCCCAUACUGCUCCCUUUGCUGAACACUGCAUUUGGUCACUCGAAUUCACCCACGAGGUCUCUGUUUAGACGAUGCUUGUUCCAGACAGUGUUCGGCACCUCCCGAUACGGUAGAGGUCGCGCACCCUCCGCUUGGCCUCGUUCAUGUCCCGACUGAAAAUGGGCUUCACCGAGGUGCUGGCCGCAACGGCAGCCUGGCGGAGUCUGCUCGCCGCCAUCUUGCUGAGACAAUCACUUCCCAGCUCCACCCCGUUUCGACCUCUAGAGUGAUGAUCUUUGACACGAGUAGAAAGGAGGCUCCAAAUAUAUAAAGUUCUUAAAUAGUAUCUUACUUUAAAGAGUAACUUUAAGUUUAUG
rnacentral:lncRNA from 1 species